CUGGAGACAGGUGCUGCAUGGCUGUCGUCAGCUCGUGUCGUGAGAUGUUGGGUUAAGUCCCGCAACGAGCGCAACCCUUGCCUUUAGUUGCCAGCAGUUCGGCUGGGCACUCUAAAGGGACUGCCGGUGUUAAACCGGAGGAAGGUGGGGAUGACGUCAAGUCCUCAUGGCCUUUAUGACCAGGGCUACACACGUACUACAAUGGCCGAUACAAAGGGCAGCGACACUGCGAGGUGAAGCCAAUCCCGUAAAAUCGGCCUCAGUCCGGAUUGGAGUCUGCAACUCGACUCCAUGAAGUUGGAAUCGCUAGUAAUCGUGGAUCAGCAUGCCACGGUGAAUACGUUCCCGGGCCUU
rnacentral:rRNA from 1 species